GAUGGACGCUGGCGGCGUGCCUAAUACAUGCAAGUCGAGCGAACGGACGAGAAGCUUGCUUCUCUGAUGUUAGCGGCGGACGGGUGAGUAACACGUGGAUAACCUACCUAUAAGACUGGGAUAACUUCGGGAAACCGGAGCUAAUACCGGAUAAUAUUUUGAACCGCAUGGUUCAAAAGUGAAAGACGAUCUUGCUGUCACUUAUAGAUGGAUCCGCGCUGCAUUAGCUAGUUGGUAAGGUAACGGCUUACCAAGGCAACGAUGCAUAGCCGACCUGAGAGGGUGAUCGGCCACACUGGGACUGAGACACGGUCCAGACUCCUACGGGAGGCAGCAGUAGGGAAUCUUCCGCAAUGGGCGAAAGCCUGACGGAGCAACGCCGCGUGAGUGAUGAAGGUCUUCGGAUCGUAAAACUCUGUUAUUAGGGAAGAACAUAUGUGUAAGUAACUGUGCACAUCUUGACGGUACCUAAUCAGAAAGCCACGGCUAACUACGUG
rnacentral:rRNA from 1 species